GAUGAACGCUGGCGGCGUGCUUAACACAUGCAAGUCGAACGAUGAAGCCCAGCUUGCUGGGUGGAUUAGUGGCGAACGGGUGAGUAACACGUGAGUAACCUGCCCUUAACUCUGGGAUAAGCCUGGGAAACUGGGUCUAAUACCGGAUAGGAGCGCCUACCGCAUGGUGGGUGUUGGAAAGAUUUAUCGGUUUUGGAUGGACUCGCGGCCUAUCAGCUUGUUGGUGAGGUAAUGGCUCACCAAGGCGACGACGGGUAGCCGGCCUGAGAGGGUGACCGGCCACACUGGGACUGAGACACGGCCCAGACUCCUACGGGAGGCAGCAGUGGGGAAUAUUGCACAAUGGGCGCAAGCCUGAUGCAGCGACGCCGCGUGAGGGAUGACGGCCUUCGGGUUGUAAACCUCUUUCAGUAGGGAAGAAGCGAAAGUGACGGGACCUGCAGAAGAAGCACCGGCUAACUACGU
rnacentral:rRNA from 1 species